GCUUAACACAUGCAAGUCGAGGGGUAACGACUCCGUCUUCGGAUGGAGGUCGACGACCGGCGCACGGGUGAGUAACGCGUAUGCAACCUACCUUUUACAGGAGGAUAGCCCAGAGAAAUUUGGAUUAAUACUCCAUAGUACUAAUGAAUCACCUGGUUUAUUAGUUAAAACUCCGGUGGUAAAAGAUGGGCAUGCGUGUCAUUAGCUAGUUGGUAAGGUAACGGCUUACCAAGGCGAAGAUGACUAGGGGUUCUGAGAGGAAGAUCCCCCACACUGGUACUGAGACACGGACCAGACUCCUACGGGAGGCAGCAGUGAGGAAUAUUGGUCAAUGGGUGAGAGCCUGAACCAGCCAUGCCGCGUGAAGGAAGACUGCCCUAUGGGUUGUAAACUUCUUUUCUGCAGGAAGAAAUCACUCUACGUGUAGGGUGUUGCCGGUACUGUAGGAAUAAGCAUCGGCUAACUCCGUGCCAGCAGCCGCGGUAAUACGGAGGAUGCAAGCGUUAUCCGGAUUUAUUGGGUUUAAAAGGGUGCGUAGGCGGGCUUGUAAGUCAGUGGUGAAAUGCUGUGGCUUAACCAUAGAAUUGCCAUUGAAACUGCAAGUCUUGAGUAUAGUUGAGGUGGGCGGAAUGAGUAAUGUAGCGGUGAAAUGCAUAGAUAUUACUCAGAACUCCGAUUGCGUAGGCAGCUUGCUAAACUGUAACUGACGCUGAUGCACGAAAGCGUGGGGAGCGAACAGGAUUAGAUACCCUGGUAGUCCACGCUGUAAACGAUGAGCACUGGUUGUUGGCAAUACACCGUCAGCGACUGAGCGAAAGUAUUAAGUGCUCCACCUGGGGAGUACGUCGGCAACGAUGAAACUCAAAGGAAUUGACGGGGGCCCGCACAAGCGGAGGAACAUGUGGUUUAAUUCGAUGAUACGCGAGGAACCUUACCUGGGCUUAAAUGUAGAGUGCAUUGCUUGGAAACAGGCAUUUUCUUCGGAACUCUUUACAAGGUGCUGCAUGGUUGUCGUCAGCUCGUGCCGUGAGGUGUCGGGUUAAGUCCCAUAACGAGCGCAACCCCUAUUGUUAGUUACCAGCACGUAAUGGAGGGGACUCUAGCAAGACUGCCGGUGUAAACCGUGAGGAAGGUGGGGAUGACGUCAAAUCAGCACGGCCCUUAUGUCCAGGGCUACACACGUGUUACAAUGGCAAGUACAAAGAGCAGCCACCUGGCGACAGGGCGCUAAUCUCAAAAGCUUGCCUCAGUUCGGAUCGAAGUCUGCAACUCGACUUCGUGAAGGUGGAUUCGCUAGUAAUCGCGCAUCAGCCAUGGCGCGGUGAAUACGUUCCCGGGCCUUGUACACACCGCCCGUCAAGCCAUGGAGCCGGGGGUACCUGA
rnacentral:rRNA from 1 species